rnacentral:lncRNA from 1 species
UGAGAUAAUUUUUUUUGUCGAUUAUAUUUAAACGGAUUAACUUUUAUUCUUACAAAACCUAAACCGGCAAAGAACACACUCAUUCCAGAACCAUAAGCCGGCAUGGCAAAGAUUUUCCCCCAGUAACAAGACCAAUAACAAAACAUAAUACAUAAAUUAAAAGCAAGGACAAGCAAGAGUAUUAAGAACCUCUAGGGCUAACACAUAAUCACUAAAGAGCAAAGCUAGCAUGAACCGGAUGCCAUAAUGAUCGAAAAAGCGUUGGAGGUCACAUUUAUUUGGGAUGAGAGCAAGGCUUAAGUACCAACUCUAAUAAGUACUAACAAAGAACCGCCACUUAAGAGCAAGCGUCAACCAUAGGAAGCUCCAAGAAAACUGAUCUCCACCCGAACAGUCGGCGAAGAAACACAUUGACAAUCAAUGGCUCAUAGACCCAACACGAUUGAGCUAAAGCUCCACAGUACCUUACCAAAAAUUCAGAUCAACCCGUCAAUUAAAUACCAAGGAACAUCACAACAUAUCAGCACUGAAGCUUCACAAUGAACAAUUAAUCUCAAAGGUCAAACGAGGCCACCUUAAGCCCCAAUAUAAUUGUGCGCCACAGCCAAGAGCCCUCGCCAUGGACUCAUCUAACAUUGUUUCAAGACCACUCCUUCCCCAUAACAUCAUAUAACUCUGAGUUCAAGUUACAUAUUAGAAAAGUUGACUAUAUUAUAGGUGAUUAGAUACUUAACUAGAAAAAAUAUAUUAGGAAGUGGAUAACUGUAUUAUAAGAUAAUUUUUUUUAAUAUAAUAUGGUGCAAAAUAUAUUAGAUCCAUAUAAUAAGAAAGAAAAAUAUAGUUGUAACGUCCCGAUCGUCCAUGACUAAUGAGUCACUCACGCCUGCUCAUUCGGUCCGUGGGCCACAUCCUGUCUGACGAGCGAUGCGUUAUUUUUCGAAGGCUCUAAAUUAUUUUUAUUUUUACUGAACCUGCAAUCACCACAUGAUAUUUCGCCCUACUUUGGUCUCACUCACACGGUUAAGAUUACAAGUCCGAUUGUUUAUGACUUUCAUGACUUUUAUGGUUGAGAUUUUUAAUUUUAAGUUGACUGUUAAAACUUUUGGAUAUUAAAAAUUGAACUGGUUUUAGAAUUUGUUUUCUUUUAACAUCUGACUAAUUAUGUGAUUAUAACAUUG